rnacentral:rRNA from 1 species
GGGGAAUAUUGCGCAAUGGGGGCAACCCUGACGCAGCCAUGCCGCGUGAAUGAAGAAGGCCUUCGGGUUGUAAAGUUCUUUCGGUAGCGAGGAAGGCAUUUAGUUUAAUAGACUAGGUGAUUGACGUUAACUACAGAAGAAGCACCGGCUAACUCCGUGCCAGCAGCCGCGGUAAUACGGAGGGUGCGAGCGUUAAUCGGAAUAACUGGGCGUAAAGGGCACGCAGGCGGUGACUUAAGUGAGGUGUGAAAGCCCCGGGCUUAACCUGGGAAUUGCAUUUCAUACUGGGUCGCUAGAGUACUUUAGGGAGGGGUAGAAUUCCACGUGUAGCGGUGAAAUGCGUAGAGAUGUGGAGGAGUACCGAAGGCGAAGGCAGCCCCUUGGGAAUGUACUGACGCUCAUGUGCGAAAGCGUGGGGAGCAAACAGGAUUAGAUACCCUGGUAGUCCACGCUGUAAACGAUGUCGAUUUGGGGGUUGAACUUUAAGUUUGGCGCCCGUAGCUAACGUGAUAAAUCGACCGCCUGGGGAGUACGGCCGCAAGGUUA